UCGUGAUCAUGGUUAUGGUCAUGGUCGUGAUCGUGAUCGUGAUCGUGGUCAUGGUCAUGGUCGUGAUCAUGAUCAUGGUCAUGACUAUGGCCUUUA
rnacentral:pre_miRNA from 1 species